GAGUUUGAUCCUGGCUCAGAACGAACGCUGGCGGCAGGCCUAACACAUGCAAGUCGAACGCCCUCUUUUCGGGAGGGAGUGGCGCACGGGUGAGUAACGCGUGGGAAUCUGCCUCGAGGUGGUGGAUAAACCUUCCGAAAGGAGGGCUAAUACAGCAUGAGACCACGUUCUCGCAAGAGGAUGAGGUAAAAGCGGGCCACUAAUACAUAAGCUCGCGCCACGAGAUGAGCCUGCGGCCCAUCAUGGUAGUUGGUAGGGUAACGGCCUACCAAGCCGAAGACGGGUAACUGGUCUGAGAGGAUGGUCAGCCACACUGGAACUGAGACACGGUCCAGACUCCUACGGGAGGCAGCAGUGGGGAAUCUUGCGCAAUGGGCGAAAGCCUGACGCAGCGACGCCGCGUGAGUGAUGAAGGCC
rnacentral:rRNA from 1 species